UGCUUACUGAAACAUUUAAACAAGUCUUUCACUUUGAAGUUUGAACUUUGAACUAAACCCAAAAUAUUUACAAAUAUCAAUAUAUUUGACAACACGCUAAACUUGCGAAGUAUAUCGGAAUAUUCAACAACGUUACAAUAACGGUGAGUGAAGUAGCGAAGAAUACAGACUGCGAACGCUACAGAUUAUGAGAUGAUCUGGCCUGCUCGCAGCCUAGAGAUCAUCAAACUGCGUGAAAAUACAAACAGAACUUGGACAUUUCGAUCAUACGAAGGGGCUUCGCUCUUUGAAACGUCGAAGUUUCUGUGAUUUUCAGGCAGUACAUAUCAUCUACAGUUCUCACAAUAUUCAACUUAUUUCAACAUGAUGAGGAUUUGCAGACUUUCAGUGACAAGUGCAAUUGUGGUACUUUAAAUUGACACUUCAAUAUAUUUAGAGCGUCUUUUAAUAUCUAUUUUAGUUGUUCUAAUUUGGGGGAUUUUCCGCUUACCAUUUCCAUAUUUAAUCGUAAGUAGCUUAAUUCAUCCAGAUUUGUUAUUAAAUAUCACCUUUUUAUAUCAAGUACAUUCAUAUUACAAGUAUACUUACUUGUUUGUAAUUGCUUUGUAGCUUCUGGCUUGCGGGCUUCUUGUUUGCGAAGUGAAGUUAAAUUACCACUCAAAUUAACAGUAAAGUGAGUGAACGGCUGCUAUAUUAAAAGAGCUGUUACAUGUAUUUUAUCAACAUGGUAAGUUCUAG